rnacentral:rRNA from 1 species
UGGGGAAGUGUGAACAAGGGGGGAAACCCUGAUGCAGCGACGCCGCGUGAUUUAGAAGGCCUUCGGGUUGUAAAAAUCUUUUCUAUGGGAAGAAAAUGACAGUACCAUAGGAAUAAGGACCGGCUAAUUACGUGCCAGCAGCCGCGGUAAUACGUAAGGUCCGAGCGUUGUCCGGAAUCAUUGGGCGUAAAGGGUACGUAGGCGGGUAAGCAAGUUAGAAGUGAAAUCCUAUAGCUAAACUAUAGUAAGCUUUUAAAACUGCUCAUCUUGAGGUAUGGAAGGGAAAGUGGAAUUCCUAGUGUAGCGGUGAAAUGCGCAGAUAUUAGGAGGAAUACCGGUGGCGAAGGCGACUUUCUGGCCAUAACCUGACGCUGAGGUACGAAAGCGUGGGUAGCAAGCAGG